AGCGAACGCUGGCGGCAGGCCUAACACAUGCAAGUCGAACGAACUCUUCGGAGUUAGUGGCGGACGGGUGAGUAACACGUGGGAACGUGCCUUUUGGUUCGGAAUAACUCAGGGAAACUUGUGCUAAUACCGAAUGUGCCCUUCGGGGGAAAGAUUUAUCGCCAUUAGAGCGGCCCGCGUCUGAUUAGCUAGUUGGUGAGGUAACGGCUCACCAAGGCGACGAUCAGUAGCUGGUCUGAGAGGAUGACCAGCCACACUGGGACUGAGACACGACCCAGACGAAGACGGGAGGAAGCAGUGGUGAAUGAUGCGGAAUGGUCGAAAGUCUGACAAAGCCAUGCCGCGUGAAUGAUAAAGGUCUUAGGAGUGGAAAAGUCUUCCACCAGGGACGAUAAUGACGGUACGCUGAGAAGCAGGCCCGGCUAACUUCGUC
rnacentral:rRNA from 1 species